AAUGGGAUCGAUUUAGCCAUGCUAGUCGCACGAGUUCAGACUCGUGGCGAAUAGCUCAGUAACACGUGGCCAAACUACCCUUCGGAACACAAUACCCUCGGGAAACUGAGGCUAAUAGUGUAUACCAUACCACCACUGGAAUGAGUGGUAUGCCAAACGCUCCGGCGCCGAAGGAUGUGGCUGCGGCCGAUUAGGUAGACGGUGGGGUAACGGCCCACCGUGCCAAUAAUCGGUAUGGGUCAUGAGAGUGAGAACCCAGAGACGGAAUCUGAGACAAGAUUCCGGGCCCUACGGGGCGCAGCAGGCGCGAAACCUUUACACUGCACGACAGUGCGAUAGGGGGAUCCCAAGUGCACAGGCAUAGCGCCUGUGCUUUUCGGUACCCUAAGGCGGUACCAGAAUAAGGGCUGGGCAAGACCGGUGCCAGCCGCCGCGGUAAUACCGGCAGCCCAAGUGAUGGCCGAUCUUAUUGGGCCUAAAGCGUCCGUAGCUGGCCGCGCAAGUCCAUCGGGAAAUCCACCUGCUCAACAGGUGGGCGCCCGGUAGAAACUGCGUGGCUUGGGACCGGAAGGCGCGACGGGUACGUCCGGGGUAGGAGUGAAAUCCCGUAAUCCUGGACGGACCGCCGAUGGCGAAAGCACGUCGCGAGAACGGAUCCGACAGUGAGGGACGAAAGCCAGGGUCUCGAACCGGAUUAGAU
rnacentral:rRNA from 1 species